CCUACGGGGGGCAGCAGUCGGGAAUAGUGGGCAAUGGAGGAAACUCUGACCCAGCAAUACCGCGUGAAGGAUGAAGGUUUUCGGAUUGUAAACUUCUGUUAGAAAGGAAGAAAAAAAUGACGGUACUGUAUAAGUAAGCCGCGGCAAACUCUGUGCCAGCAGCCGCGGUGAUACAUAGGGGGCAAGCGUUGUCCGGAAUGACUGGGUGUAAAGGGUGUGGAGGUGGCUUAUUAAGUUAGAGGUGAAAGCCCGCCGCUCAACUUCGGAACUGCCUUUAAAACUGGUUGGCUUGUGUGUGGGAGCGGUUAGUGCAACUCCUAGUGUAGCGGUGGAAUGCGUAGAUAUUAGGAAGAACAUCAGAGGCGAAGGCGACUCACUUGAACAUUCCUGCCACUGUCCCAC
rnacentral:rRNA from 1 species